rnacentral:lncRNA from 1 species
CGGGUUCUUGAAGAUGCCGGCCUCCGCCCAGCCGCCUGCCACGAAGAGCACCGCGCAGUCGGCCUGCACCGCGGGGAUACACAAACACACCGGGUUGCGGGAGGGGGCAUCGGACUGACUUUGGGAGGUUCCGAAUCCCAUUGUAAAGCUGGGGAAUGCCCUCCAGAACUCAGAUGGCCAAAUGGGAUUCAUGGACCACCCUAGAUGCGGUGCAUGGGGGUCCUGCUUCCCAGUUCCUCUCAUUUAAUCUCAUCUAAAUCAGCUUUUAGUCCCUUCUUUCUGGACCAACUGAUCUACUAGUCUGAGUGUAAGAAAACCUGGUCCCUCUAGGCCCCCCCAGGACAACAGGAUCUGAGCUUCAUGAGAGUGAUGGGACUUUCAGUCCUGUCCUCCCUAAUUCUUUCAGGAUUGAUGGAUGAUGGCCAUAGGAAUGUUUCUGAAGGCAUGGACUGCUUUACCUGGGAAGUGCCCCUGAUCAUGGUCAUGAUGAAGUCUCUGUGGCCUGGAGCAUCGAUGAUAAUGCUGUAGUAUGUGCUAGUCUUGAACUUCCACAGGGAGAUAUCAAUGAUCCUUUUCCUUCCCGUCUCCACAUGUCCAGAAGUUUGGUCCCCAUAAAAUUACAGUGGGCUGGGCACAGUUGCUCACGCCUGUAAUCUCAGCACUUUGGGAGCCUGAAGCAGGAGGAUCACUUGAACUUAG